rnacentral:tRNA from 1 species
CAGAACAUUGGGCCAGCUUAUUUCAAGCUCGCUUCGCUCCUUGAGCGAUUCAAUCUGAGUGCUUGGUUUGGGUGGGGGUGGUGCAACGCCAUCAUCAUCUGAC